rnacentral:lncRNA from 1 species
AGAGAGAGAGAGAGAGAGAGAGAGAGAGAGAGAGAGAGAGAGAGAGAGAGAGAGAGAGAGAGAGAGAGAGAGAGAAUAAAUACACUGGGGAAAACAAGCGACACCUGGAGGGGGUGGAGACAGUCACAAGGACAGGUGAAACAGAUCAGGGUGUGACAGUCUGUGCAUAGCACACCAUCUGGAGACGAGGCAUAGAAAAAGCUAGACGGAGUAUACAUCACCAGGCGAUGGCUCCAUCUGCUGGACGUGCCAGGUCUCGACGGGCUCUCCGGCCAGGACUAAUUGGGGCUGAUUGGGAGUUGGAUACAGCAAGACCUGGAGCCAAGAAGACGGUAUCCCGGAGAGGGUCUCAUGGGGAAGACCUUUUCUUUUGAACUAUUAUUUUAAUAAACACCUUUGAAACUGAGCUAAUCCUACUCUGUCCGUGUCUGAUCUUUGUCAAUGUUUUGACCCAACCCCCUGGUCUGCCACACCAAGUAGACUAAAAUAGGGGGGCACCGGUACCUAGUCAGUGUACAGGUUAGUUGAGGUCAUUUGUACAUGUAGGUGGGGGUGAUGUGAAUAUGC